rnacentral:rRNA from 1 species
UACGGAGGGUGCAAACGUUGCUCGGAAUCAUUGGGCGUAAAGCGCACGUAGGCGGUUUGUUAAGUCGGGUGUGAAAGCCCUGGGCUCAACCCAGGAAGUGCACCCGAAACUGGCAAGCUUGAAUAUGGAAGAGGGUCGCGGAAUUCCCGGUGUAGAGGUGAAAUUCGUAGAUAUCGGGAGGAACACCAGUGGCGAAGGCGGCGACCUGGGCCAAUAUUGACGCCGAGGUGCGAAAGCGUUGGGAGCGAACAGG